UACGAAGGGGGCUAGCGUUGCUCGGAAUCACUGGGCGUAAAGCGCGCGUAGGCGGAUUGCUAAGUCAGGGGUGAAAUCCUGGAGCUCAACUCCAGAACUGCCUUUGAUACUGGCGAUCUCGAGUCCGGGAGAGGUGAGUGGAACUGCGAGUGUAGAGGUGAAAUUCGUAGAUAUUCGCAAAGAACACCAGUGGCGAAGGCGGCUC
rnacentral:rRNA from 1 species